UACAGAGGUCCCAAGCGUUGUUCGGAUUCACUGGGCGUAAAGGGUGCGUAGGUGGUGAAGUAAGUCGGAUGUGAAAUCUCGGAGCUCAACUCCGAAACUGCAUUGGAAACUACUUUGCUCGAGGGUUGGAGGGGGGACUGGAAUUCUCGGUGUAGCAGUGAAAUGCGUAGAUAUCGAGAGGAACACCAGUGGCGAAGGCGGCUCACUGGCCCGGUACUGACGCUGAGGUGCGAAAGCGUGGGGAGCAAACAGG
rnacentral:rRNA from 1 species